AGAGUUUGAUCCUGGCUCAGGAUGAACGCUGGCGGCAUGCCUAAUACAUGCAAGUCGAACGAGAGGAAGGAAAGCUUGCUUUUCUGAAUCUAGUGGCGAACGGGUGAGUAACACGUAGGUAACCUGCCCAUGUGCCCGGGAUAACUUCUGGAAACGGAUGCUAAAACCGGAUAGGUAGCAGACAAGCAUUUGACUGCUAUUAAAGUGGCCUUGGCCAUGAACAUGGAUGGACCUGCGGUGCAUUAGCUAGUUGGUGAGGUAACGGCCCACCAAGGCGACGAUGCAUAGCCGGCCUGAGAGGGCGGACGGCCACAUUGGGACUGAGACACGGCCCAAACUCCUACGGGAGGCAGCAGUAGGGAAUUUUCGUCAAUGGGGGGAACCCUGAACGAGCAAUGCCGCGUGAGUGAGGAAGGUCUUCGGAUCGUAAAGCUCUGUUGUAAGAGAAAAACGGCACUCAUAGGGAAUGAUGAGUGAGUGAUGGUAUCUUACCAGAAAGUCACGGCUAACUACGUGCCAGCAGCCGCGGUAAUACGUAGGUGGCGAGCGUUAUCCGGAAUGAUUGGGCGUAAAGGGUGCGUAGGUGGCAGAUCAAGUCUGGAGUAAAAGGUAUGGGCUCAACCCGUACUGGCUCUGGAAACUGAUCAGCUAGAGAACAGAAGAGGACGGCGGAACUCCAUGUGUAGCGGUAAAAUGCGUAGAUAUAUGGAAGAACACCGGUGGCGAAGGCGGCCGUCUGGUCUGGAUUCUGACACUGAAGCACGAAAGCGUGGGGAGCAAAUAGGAUUAGAUACCCUAGUAGUCCACGCCGUAAACGAUGAGAACUAGGUGUUGGGGGAAUAACUCAGUGCCGCAGUUAACGCAGUAAGUUCUCCGCCUGGGGAGUAUGCACGCAAGUGUGAAACUCAAAGGAAUUGACGGGGGCCCGCACAAGCGGUGGAGUAUGUGGUUUAAUUCGAAGCAACGCGAAGAACCUUACCAGGCCUUGACAUCCCUUGCAGAGGUAUAGAGAUAUAUCCGAGGUUAUCAAGGAGACAGGUGGUGCAUGGUUGUCGUCAGCUCGUGUCGUGAGAUGUUGGGUUAAGU
rnacentral:rRNA from 1 species